UUUUUUUUUUUUUUUGUUUUAAUUUCUACUAGACAUUUAUCCUAAAUUCUGUAUGGUCUAUAAACUGAUAUAAAUUACUAUCUGUCCUGCAAAAUACUUAACUAAUUCUAAAGCCAUGCAUGUAGUGGCUACAGAAGCUCCAACUGAAUUCCAACUGAAUUUUUGUUUGUUUUUAUAAAGUAAGUAUAAUUGUGCAGUAAUUUACUGGGAGUAUAAGUAUCUGCAUGGCCAGGAAUAUGCCAUGUUGUGAAGAAAAGAGAUUUGAAAUGAAGAAUGGUAAAGUAAAGAAAGAACAAAUAAGUAUGUUAAAUAAAUCUCACCAUUUAAUUUUAACAUGCUUCUGUGUAACAGUUAGACUCCACAGAUGACAACUAAUAGAUAUGUGGGGGACUGUGGCAUUCCUGCUUCUUUUUUGUUUAUAGCUCUAAUUAUUUUAUACUGUGAUGAAACAGAACUUGAAAAAUGCUGUGCUUGACUUAGAGAAUAGUUUAGUUGAUCAAUCAGCAAUCUGGCAAAGCAAGCAGCUACACAAAAAGAAAUUGGUGAGGAAUUCCAUACUUAAAUCGCUUGGAAUUUAUGAGUGGCGUCUUCUUUUUUUUUAUCCUUACAACUGUAGAAAUUAUUAACCUCAUUUGAAGAUGCACUUUGCUAUUUUCAGUGUCAGAAAAAGUCUAUAGGUUCCAUAUAAUUUUAAUCAAUUGUCUUAUUCAACCUUAAAUGCACAUGUAGCUAUGUAAAAUUUAUCACUGUUACCUAAGAGGAAGCAUUUCUUUCAAUGAGUAGAUAGGAGCUGUCAUCUAUAUUCUUCUGGUCUUAUGCCACCCUUUUUUCUCUCUCACUUGGAUGGAGUCUUCCAAUUCUAACACCACCAUAUAAAUACACACAUGGCUGCCUAAAGCAAGAUUCAUAGGACAGCAAAAAUUAGUUAAGAAAAGCCUGACUGAUCUAGCUGUUGCAAUUAAAAAAUUUAUUACAGACCUCAGCACUUUGUCCCUCCCAUGCGCCAGAGGGUACCCUCCCUAGGAGGUGUGUCAGAAAAAACUACAGGCAUCUGACUCACCUGCCUCUAUGUCCUCACUGGUGGUUAAAGCUACUUGUCACACUAUACAGGGAAAUAGGUAUGGUUCUGUCUCCUCUCCCUCGGGGUGUAACAACUUUCUGCAGAAGGGUAAGGCAACUAGCUGAGUCAGUAAAAAAAUAACAUCUCAAUUCUACCUAUCUCCCCUGCAUAGUUAGUGUUGUUAAGAUUACAAAACAGUAAAAGCCUUUGGCCUGGACUCACAGAUAAAGCACUACAUCUACUUACUUCCUAAUUUCCUGAUUUUUUUUUUCCAUAUCUUCUCUCUUGCAUUCUGUUUCAUCCAUCCCAGUUCUCCUCCUGUUCCCCUUCUCUAUCUGUAGUGCUUGUUUUGCAAAUGCUAUCUCCUACUGACAUCUCAAAAGCUGCCAUUAUAAAUUUCAAAGUAGUCAGGCAACCAGUUGCCAGUGCACAAAAAACUCCAAAAUAUAGUUGAUCUGAGCAUGUACAGGGAUCUCCAGAAUAUAUAAGGAAGUCUCUGCACAUGAACAAUAUAUCAUAUACCUGUGGCACAGAAAACAAUGGGUUUUCUGUAUGGGCACUCAGUUCUUGCUGUGGCAGCCUAUGUUUCCCUCAGCUCAUUUCAUUCUAUCCCCAGACUUCCUGUGUCUCAUUUUGUUUCCAGCAUUCACUAUGCACACUGGUUCUGUUUUCAUGUGCCUUUUCUGAUACUCUAAGUUGGAUCUUAGUUCUGCUCACACUUCUUUUAUUCCCAUGUCUCUCUACACCUUCCUGUCCAGUAUUAAAAAGAGAAAUUUGAGAAUGAUCUGGUUUCAUCUUCACUGGAACAGCUACCAUCUUUGCUAGAACAAACUUAAGUUUUAUGUAACAGUAUUACAGGAAAGUAACCAGCUGUCAUGACUGAAAGUAAUUUCAUUUAAGUCCCGAAACACUCUGGAGAGAGCAACCAUUACAAUAAGGAAAAACCAAGAUGUUGGACACCUACAGUCUUGUAACUGCAGGAGUCUCUGUGUAUUUUGUGCUUUAAUUUCAAAUCCACUAAGUAGUUUGAAUUGGCAAUGAUACAAAGGUUCUGGGACUCACUGAUGGCAUUUCUAAUCAAUUCAGUGAAUAAUGACUUUCUGUGAAGCAAUUUACUUGCCAUGAAGAAGCUAUUCUGUCUGAGACACUGAACCUGCAUAAAAGAAAUAGAGAAGAAUAGGAGCCUCUUCCCCUGCCAUUUCAGAUUUCUGUUUCAUAGAGAAUAGUAUCCCAGAAUGGUACCUGAAAGGCACAAGCAGCAGAGGUGUGCACAUACAUGUGACCAGUUCUCAUUAUCUGCAGACCUUCAUUGCUCACUACCUUUAGUCUCCAACACAAAAUAUAAAAAAACAAACCAAAAUAUUUCACUAGGCUAGAGUUUUAUAGUGAUGUAUUGUCCAAGGCACAAGCCUCAUUUUUUAGACAAUUUACAGAAAAUACCUCACCAUUUUCUAUCUGAGUAUGGUAAUUGACCUAGUUGAAGUAGGCUUAGUAUCUUUUGUUUUGAAAAGCAGGAUGUCCUUCCUGUCUUUCAGAGCAGUAGUAGAGAAAUAAAGGAGUGUCUAGUAUUUGUUCGCAAACCCAGGCAGAACUGUACAAAAAGGGGCUGUCUCCAUGCUAUUAACUUCCUUCUACAAGGAGUAAACUGACUCUUGCUGAAGCCAGUGGAAAGACUUCAUUUACAUUACCUGGAGGAAUCUCCAUCUGGAAGAAGAAAACAGUCAAGAAAAAAAAAAGCAAUGAAACUAGAUUUUCCACUUAAACAGUGCUCCAGAUCAAAACAAUAUACACAACUGGUAGAUACUUUGUAUGUACAAAUACCACAAAUGCCAGGUAUAAAUAAAAGCAUCAAUUCUGAUAUUGUAAAGAUACUGAAAUCAUUAUCUACAUGACUGAUAAAUAUUCUUCAAAAUUUAGAGAUGCAAGGUGUGAGGAAAUGAGAAACAGUAUUUAAGUAGCAUUGUGACAGGAUAUUGUGAUGUUACAUAUAGGAAUUAAAAGGUUUAGCAAUAUAGAGGAAGAAAACAGUGACAAUAUGUCAUAUGUAUAUAUCAUGUCAUACAUUACAAAUAUUUAUAUGCUAAAAAAUGAUAAUGUUGUGAUAGGAAAUAAGCACAGGUAAUGUGCUUAGUCUUCUGGUAAUUUCUGCAGCACUUAAUCAGUCUCCAAACACCUGUAUAGCUAUGCAAAUUAAAAUCUCAAAUGUAGAUAAUGUAGAUAAUCCCCUACUAUUUUCACUUUGAUAACUCUUUCCUGCUUGCCAAAAACGAGGUUUACAAGAACAAAUAGUAACUUUCCACAAUGUGCCUAUGUGGAAAUAUACACAGCUAAAGCAAAGUGCAACUAAAACAAUGACCAGCUCCCAGUUAGAGAAAUCAUGGUAGAAAUGGCUACAGCUCUUCUUAGCAGAAGUAUACCCCUUUUUGCUUCUUUCAAGGGGUACCUCCUUCGUGUUACUGCUUCCUGCUUACAUUCAUCAGAAAGGAAGGGGUUUGGUCCAGUGAGGUAAUAGAAUUGUAUUAUAUUUAGCCUAGAGGCCUUGUACUAAAUCCAAGUAACCUAGAAAACACUUUAUAUGAAUAGCAGCUUGAUGUAAGAAAGCAAGAAACUGUCUUAAUUUGAUUAUUUUAAAUGGAUUGGAGUUUUGCGUAGGUGGAAGACAAUCAUUACAGAAAGGAGUGCUACACAGACUAACAUAUAAAUAGCUCAUGCUGUGAGGAGAACAAUAGCCCUGUUUCUUUUCUCAGAGCACAGAUACAAUUAGUUAGAGGAUAUUGCAUUCUUCAGAAUUUUUUGGCAUCCAAUAGAAAAAACAAUUGCAUUUCAAAACAGAAUAUUGUAUUUGGAAACCACUUCCUCUUUUAAUAACCUGCCAAGGCUUUCAGUCCUUCCCCUGCAAACGAACACAUCCCUUGUAGUUUAGCACAAUGCUUUCCCACACUGCCGCUGAUUGCGAGGUCGCUGACUCCUGAUGCAGUGACAAAGAAUCUUGAGCUUGCCUCUUGGCAGGGAAGUAACUGCUUUCCAUGUACAUUGUGUUAAAAAUGCAUGUUUCUGUAGGGUUUCCAUCUACCGUUAUAUGAACUCCACUGAUUUAGCUCCCAUACUUUUACUGUCACAGAAUAACUAUAUACUUUCAUUGAAGAAAUGUAGAGGUAAAGUCAAAUGUUCAUUUUCAAAGCAGGAAAUCUCAGUCCCCUGACAGCACUGUAUUCCUACUGAUGGAUUUAGAUUCUAAUGGCUGAUGUAGAUUUCAUCAAAUUGUCCAGUGGCAAUAAUUCAUUCCAUGUGACCUGGGUGUAUUCUAUUCUCGCUGGGUUAGAGAGAAGACCUAUUACGCUCACCAGCCAAUCCAUCUUAAAACUAGUUUAAAAUAUUAAUAAUCAUGGUUAGCUAGAUGGAAAUAUGAUUGAUUGCUACAUAAUCCUCUAAAUAAUAAAACAAAUCAAUAGCUAUAGUUAUAAAACUAGACUCAUGGGAUAAAUCAAUCAAAACCAGUGCCUACAUUUCAAACUUAAGCCUGUCACUGUCUUCCUUCAGCACUGUUUUUUGCCCAGAUGUGAAAAUCUUCAUUUGAGGUCAUGAGGUAGUGACAGAUACAAAGGCCAAAUGGAUAUCAAGUGUUCUUCCCUCUUAAAAAUUCAUUAUUCUCCCCAUUACAAGUGGAAAACCCUAAAAUACUCUAAUUACACUGUGAUCAGUCUUGAUCCCCCUUAUUUCUUGAGUGACUCAACUGCUCAUUUUUUUUUAGUUUCUUCCUUUAUUUGUAAUAAUUUCUUUUCCUGUAAUAACAGAAGUAUCAACAGCAGACUUACGAAUCAAGUAAAAUGAACAUAUUUUACUGAUAUUUUUAAUAUAUAAAAACACGGCUUCAUAAACUUCUAACCCACGUUCUCUCUGUACUUCGGAACAGCAUUUACUUGGAUGUGCUGCAAUAAAUGGACAUGCUGCACUCCUUACUGUGCUGUCUCAGAAACUUGUUUUACAAACCAUGCACAUAAUAAACUUGCACACUAUCAUUUCUAAUGUUACUACAUACCCAAAAUAGCCUUCAAAUUGAAUGAGAUAAAACAAAACAUACAUCAUCUACUUAGCAUUCAAAGAUCAGGAGAACUGGUAGGUCUAGCAGGAACUGGUAGGUCCUGAGCUUUAAAGGAGAUCUGUAAGGGGUAUCUUUGCAUUACCAGAAAGUUCAAAGCUUGAGUGUCUGCUUUCUCUGUGUUAUUAAAAAUCCCACAAGUUUUGCAAAUGUAAGGUAGCUAUCCUACAUCUUGAAAACAUGCAAAAAUACCACGGUAAUCAUGUUUAGUCUGUAUAAACAGAACGUUUGUUUCUGAGUCAUAUUUACUUCUUUUUAUCGUAAACCGAUUUCACUAGAAAUUUCCAUCAGCACAAGCAAAGUGAAUUUCUCUGCAUUUAAGAAGUGGUUUCAUGUUUGCACUCCUUUUUUAGGCAAGAGCAAUUGAUUUCUGUUUACUGGGAAACAUACUUGUCUGUGUUCUGGUUUGCUUGUGCUGUUGGAAGGGUCAACAGAGCUGGAAGCAGGGGAAUUUUCAGCUGGCACUGCUCCUGUGAAGGCAGCUCCCGCUUGGCCCUACUGUGGAGAAGGCCUGGCUUGAAUAAGCUGCAUAGAGUUUCUUAAGAUCAGGGGCUUACUGCUGCAAAUGAAAAUGUUCUCUAGUCUCCACCUAGACACAGCAAAGUACAGACGUGCCUGCAGAAUGAAGCAGUUUUGGCCUCACUCAGCAUCCACAAGGAGUGUGGGGAAGCUGAGACCCACAUGCAGACCUUGGGCUGCAUGAAGAUGGGAAAAGGCCCUGUGACACCGAAUUUGAACUGACAAAAGCAAGAGAGCAGCUAGGCAGCAAGGAUAAGCAGAUAGCCAAAGGGAAAAAAAGCAACCCAUUUUCCAAAUUCUGGCCCAAGCGACCUAUGCCCUGGUACUUUAAGUUCAAAAUCAUGUCACUAAAAUCAGCUCAGAUUUGGCCCUCCUGACAGAUCUUGUUCUUUGUGUGAUGGAAAUGUGAAAAAACAGUACAGAACAGCUGGCUUUCACCAAGCUAGCUUUCACCUUCUAGGUCUCGUUCAGUUACACACAAAGCCUAAGAAAUUUAGGGCUGGAAAGGGCUGAGAAGUGAGGAAACACAGACUGGAUCACUUUGAGGGGAAAAAAGAUUCUAAGCGCAGGAAGGCAGCGUGGUUGGCGCUGUCAGAGCGAUCACAAGGAGGACAUGGGGGAUGGUACAGGCACCGUUGAAUGCAGGAGACAAAGGAAAGAAAACAUCACAAGAAUAAAUACGGGAAACAUGAAUUAGAAAUUGAUCUAAUGAGACACCCGGCUUCCCUGAACUUCGGUUACUAACUAAUGUGCCAGCCGUAGGAAGGGGGAGCAGGGGGAUGCCUCAGAGAUGAGCUAAAUCGCCCCGCAAACCCAAGAGGAAACGCUGCCAAGGAACCGGUAAAAUGAAGAGCGCCAACGCCCCUUUUCUACCCACUCGAAACGGCUCGGGGAGACCCCUCGGACGGCCAGCAGCACGCAGGGCCCCGGGGCGGCUUCCUGGGAGCCUCUGCCGCUGAGACCCACUUCCUCC
rnacentral:lncRNA from 1 species